rnacentral:rRNA from 1 species
AUUGAACGCUGGCGGCAGGCAUAACACAUGCCAGUAGAGCGGAGCGGCGGACGGGUGAGUAAUGCCUAGGAAUCUGCCUGGUAGUGGGGGAUAACGUCCGGAAACGGGCGCUAAUACCGCAUACUAUCAGAUGAGCCUAGGUCGGAUUAGCGAGUUUGUGGGGUAAAGGCCUACCAAGGCGACGAUCCGUAACUGGUCUGAGAGGAUGAUCAGUCACACUGAAACGUUGACACGGGCCAGCUUCCUACGGGAGGCAUCAGUGGGGAAUAUUGUACAAGUGGCGAAAGCCGGAUCCAGCCAUGCCGCGUGUGUGAAGAAGGUCUUCGGAUUGUAAAGCACUUUAAGUUGGGAGGCGUUACCAACAGAAUAAGCACCGGCUAACUUCGUGCCAGCAGCCGCGGUAAUUC